rnacentral:lncRNA from 1 species
AAAGAUAGAGAAGAUCAAGGUCAAACAUCACUAAACAGAAGUAAAAUGAAGAUUAGAAGUCAAGAAACAAAUAAAAUAUUUUUUCUAUUUUUCAAAAUAUUAAAAUAAAACUUGAAUUAAAAUAAUAAAAAAGGUCAAACUUCAAACUCACUUCAAAUCAGCUUUGAAAAGUCCAAUUGAAUGAACCCAAGUUCAACAAGGUCAAACAAAGUUUGACAAAAAAAUUUCAGCAUUUUUAAAAGUCAGAAACUAUUUUUAAUCAAU